rnacentral:rRNA from 1 species
UCGAGAAUUUUUCACAAUGGGCGAAAGCCUGAUGGAGCGACGCCGCGUGGGGGAUGAAUGGCUUCGGCCCGUAAACCCCUGUCAUUCGCGAUCAACCCUUAUUAUUUAAAAGAUGAUGAGCUGAUAGUAGCGGAAGAGGAAGGGACGGCUAACUCUGUGCCAGCAGCCGCGGUAAUACAGAGGUCCCGAGCGUUGUUCGGAUUCACUGGGCGUAAAGGGUGCGUAGGUGGUGGGGUAAGUCGGAUGUGAAAUCUCCAAGCUCAACUUGGAAAUGGCAUUGGAAACUGCCCUGCUAGAGGAUCGGAGGGGGGACUGGAAUACUUGGUGUAGCAGUGAAAUGCGUAGAUAUCAAGUGGAACACCAGUGGCGAAGGCGAGUCCCUGGACGAUACCUGACACUG